rnacentral:tRNA from 1 species
UGCAGUCGGGUGUGUUUGCAUAUUAUGUUUUGAUCAUGAAGGUAAUUAGGAGUUGAUUGCAG